GCUGCCCUCGCGUUCAAGCUAUUCUCUUCCCACGCGCGGCGCACAGAUGUCAGGAGAUGAAGUGGACAGGGACAGGCAUCGGUGGGGCUGGAACUGGCGGAGGGAGGCCCCAUGAAUCUGGAUACCACUCCCACUGACACCGAUGGCAAAACUCUGUUGUAUACUGUGUCGUAAAGAAAUCACCCAUGGGCCCUAACGCCGAAUUCGGUGAGUGCCAGUGUUCCUUAUAAGCUGGGUUCUUGUGCAGGAGAGAGUCAGAUGUUGCCCAGCUGAUUAGCAGAGGGCCCACAGCGAGGCUGUGUGAUGCUCAUCUACACAUGCCUCAGUGCACAAACAAAUUUAUUCCACACAUGGGUGGAAAAAAUCCGAGGGACCGUUGAUAGAUGUGUAGAAUAAUACAGAGAAGGGAAUAUUGCUUCUGCCAGGUUCAGGAUGGGCUCGGAUGCCGGACAGUGGAGUAGUCCCUGGCUCAAGCGGUCAUCUUAUUCUCUAGACUCUCAGCUUUUGUAAGUAAAAUAAUCAAAAUAAGCAAGGUGCUAGCUGCUGUGGUUGUAAAUAAAAUCUCAGAUGCGUGAACCAAGCAUAACUGCAGCAGACAGAAGUCUGCCGUGUAGACAUCGCAUCAGCAUCCUUGUGCUGAAACGGUCUUGCUAAAAUGCUGGUCUGGCUCCCCGCUCCUGGGUGCUUUCUCCUACCGCACAAAGGAGGUCCCUGGUAUGGUGGAUGGGAGAGCCUCACAAGCAGCUCUCUGGAACUAGUGACGCACCAGCAUCAGAGCACUGACCCGCCCUUACCCCCAUAACCUGCAUUUCCUGCCCUCUCUGAUCACUUGCAAAUAGUCUGUGCGUGGUCCAUGGUGGAUGCAGUCUAUAAUUAAGAUACAGGAAAAUAUCAUUAUCUAGACAAAGAUACAUAAAACUUGCCUCAUCCCGUACAGUGAGGGGGAAAGAAGAACAGACACAUCAAGCAGUUCAUGUGCAUUUCUAUUGGAUAUGACGAUACAGACAACAGACCACAGAUAUAGGUUAUCUGUACCAUUGCAAAAAAGAGUUUGUGGAUUUCUAAACAGAGGGAGCAGAGGAAAGUCAGGCUGCAGUCCUUGACCUUAACUAACCGUCCAGCAAUGAGGCGUGGUCCCAUCAGGUCAUAAAUACAUUCUCUUGCUCAGUCAGUCCCAGUUUGCACUGCGAGGCAGAGAGGGACUGCCUGGAGCUGACAGUAGUGAUAUUUAAAGCAAGGGGGCCAAAAGACAAAACCAAAGCCACGCUCCAUAGAGUAUAUUCCACUGACUUAAGGCAAGACCCAGGCUAACCAGCAGGCUAAGACCUCCUGCUCUGUGAAGACCAGAAAGAUUCCAGCUUGUUAGGUCUUUAGUGGAGACAGGACCUAAUACGUUAACCAGAAGAGCCAUAGUGAUUCGACACCACUGAACGCAGGACUAGUGUACAGUAGCUGGCUGAUCCCAAAACCAGCCAUGAGGAUGGUUUACCAGACCCCUGAGCAGCUGCCUAGAGAUGAUCUGCUGGCAAUCCUGCUGUUUUAGAAGAGAAACAAUGGGAAGAAAAACGGAUCCAGUCCAAGACAGAUAACAGAAUGGAGAGUGACUGAAAUGUACUUGAGUUGAUCCGGUUUGGUUUUAAGCAAAGGAGGAGGGUACUGAAAAUAAAGUGUAUUGUGAUUGUAAGUGUUAGUGAGGCCUGCUUCAAAACCAGCAGAGGACUGCCCUUCCCAAAAUGGGAAGAUUUACGUGAGAGCAGGGGGAGUCUAGAGAAAUGGUCAACUGAGGGCCAAACCCAGAAGUCCUUGCUCAGGCAAGACUCCCAAGCUGAAGUCUACGGUAUUUCACCCCCCUAAGGAUUUGUUGAAGCAGCACAUCCCCCUCUUGAGGAACUGACAGGAUGGACGAAUCGCGUGCUGCUCUCACACUCUGCUGACAGGAGAGACUGUGCGCGCCCAUUUCUCUCCACAAGCCUUCCCUGCAGAGCAGCUGUCAGCCUGACAGCCAGGACACAGGUAGGCUGUCGAGUUACUGGGGAAGGGUGCUUGUGAAUCAAGUGUUGGAAAGACAAAGUCAAAAGGAGCCUGCCAAAGCACUGGAGCAGCAGCACAUCCCAGCCAGUAGAAUAUCCAUGUGGACAUGGCUCCCUUCUCGGGCUCGGCCCAGAGAACGUUCCUCACGGGCCCCGGAGAACGCUGAGGUUUUGUCUUUAUGGACCCACUGCUUUGUAAACACCCGCCAUGGGGCAGCACGGAGACCCUUCCUCGGGGAAAGCAAUCUAGACAGUAACCUGCAGGGCCUCCUCACACCCUCACAGGGUUCAUGUGCAAAACAAGUCGGAAGUAGACCUUUGGAUUAACUCUUUAAUACAUUUGUGCACGUGUGCGUCUAGCGUCGA